GUUCGUUAUUAAGGGCGCAUGGUGGAUGCCUUGGCAUGCUGAGCCGAUGAAGGACGUGAAAGGCUGCGUUAAGCCUCGGGGAGUUGUCAAUUGAGCGUUGAUCCGAGGAUGUCCGAAUGGGGAAACCUGGCCCUGGUUAUGUGGGGUUACCCUUCAGUGAAUUCAUAGCUGUUGUGGGGGUUUACGCGGGGAAGUGAAACAUCUCAGUACCCGUAGGAGGAGAAAAUAAUAAUGAUUCUGCUAGUAGUGGCGAACGAACGUGGAUGAGGCUAAACCGUGUGCAUGUGAUACCUGGUAGGGGUUGUGUGUGCGGUGUUGUGGGCCCCAAUUGGCGGUGACUACCAUCAUCGUGCUCGUGUGUUGUUGUUAGGUGAAGUGGUUUGGAAUGGCCUGCCGGAGAAGGUGAGAGUCCUGUAGUUGAAGACAAUGGCAUGUGGGUUGUUGGGUUGCCCGAGUAGCAGCGGGCUCGUGGAAUCUGCUGUGAAUCUGCCGGGACCACCCGGUAAGCCUAAAUACUCAGUGUGACCGAUAGUGUAUGAGUACCGUGAGGGAAUGGUGAAAAGUACCCCGGGAGGGGAGUGAAAUAGUUCCUGAAACCAUGUGCUUACAAUCCGUCAGAGCACCGUUUGUGUGUGAUGGCGUGCCUUUUGAAGAAUGAGCCUGCGAGUCAGCGGCAUGUCGCGAGGUUAACCCGUGUGGGGUAGCCGUAGGGAAACCGAAUCCUAAUGGGGUGUUAAGUGGCAUGUCCUGGACCCGAAGCGGGGUGAUCUACCCAUGGCCAGUGUGAAGCAGCUGUAAGAGGUUGUGGAGGCGCGAACCCACGUAGGUUGAAAACUGCGGGGAUGAGCUGUGGGUAGGGGUGAAAGGCCAAUCAAACUCCGUGAUAGCUGGUUCUCCCCGAAAUGCAUUUAGGUGCAGCGUCGUAUUAUAGCUUGGUGGAGGUAGAGCGACUGGUUGGUUGAGCGGGACUACAAUCUUAGCAAUGUCAGCCAAACUCCGAAUGCCACUAAUUGUGUUGUACGGCAGUGAGACUGUGGGGGAUAAGCUUCAUAGUCGAGAGGGAAACAGCCCAGAUCGCCGGUUAAGGCCCCUAAGGGUGUACUAAGUGGAAAAGGAUGUGGGAUCGCGAAGACAGCCAGGAGGUUGGCUUAGAAGCAGCCAUCCUUGAAAGAGUGCGUAAUAGCUCACUGGUCGAGUGGUUCUGCGCCGACAAUGUAGUGGGGCUCAAGUACACCGCCGAAGCCGCGGCAAACUUUUUUGUUUGGGUAGGGGAGCGUCGUGCAUGGGUUGAAGCGUUACCGUAAGGAGGCGUGGACUGUGUGCGAGUGAGAAUGCAGGCAUGAGUAACGAAUUGAUAGGUGAGAAUCCUAUCCGCCGGAUGACUAAGGGUUCCUGGGUCAAGUUCGUCUUCCCAGGGUGAGUCGGGACCUAAGGCGAGGCCGACAGGCGUAGUCGAUGGAUAACCAGUUGAUAUUCUGGUACCCGUACAUGCGCGCCCAUGAUAAAGCACUGAUACUAACCACCGCGGAUGCACUGCUAAUACUCUUUGAGUGUUGGUGGUGUUGAUGUCGUGGGGCCUGAUGUGUGGUUCAAGUGAUGGGGUGACGCAGUGAGGUAGCCACGCCACUUAUUGGAUUGGUGGUGUAAGCGUGUAGAUCGUGUGGUAGGUAAAUCCGCCACACAUGUGGUUGAGACGUGAUGCGUAGACCCAUUGGGGUUGAUGGUGGUGAUCCUGUACUGUCGAGAAAAGCCUCUAGCGAUGUGUGUGUAUGGCCCGUACCCUAAACCGACACAGGUAGUCAGGUUGAAAAUACUAAGGCGUUCGGGUGAACUGUGGUUAAGGAAUUCGGCAAAAUGCCCCCGUAACUUCGGGAGAAGGGGGGCCUUACGACGUGAAGGCCCAAGCGGCUGGAAGCGUUGUGGGGUCGCAGAGAAUAGAGGGAAGCGACUGUUUAUCAAAAACACAGGUCCAUGCGAAGACGUUAAGUUGAUGUAUAUGGACUGACGCCUGCCCGGUGCUGGAAGGUUAAGAGGACCGGUUAGUAGUCUUUGACUGCGAAGCUGAGAAUUUAAGCCCCAGUAAACGGCGGUGGUAACUAUAACCAUCCUAAGGUAGCGAAAUUCCUUGUCGGGUAAGUUCCGACCUGCACGAAUGGCGUA
rnacentral:rRNA from 1 species